GGACAGAUGGCCGAGCUGGUUAUGGCGCCAGGUUAAGGAGUAAUUAAUUAUCCUGGUCACGAAAGUGGCGUGGGUUCGAGUCCCACUCUGUUCA
rnacentral:tRNA from 2 species